rnacentral:lncRNA from 1 species
CCAUGGAGGGAGAUUAUAUGUAACUAAGAUAACCGGCGAACAACUAUAUCUGCUACUUAGAGAACUGUGGGGAUUGAAUCCAUCAGAUGAAAGAGCCAAUCUCAAGUUUCUUGGCUCAUUACCAAACUCAGGCCAUUUAUCAUCAAGAAGUUUCCAAAACGGGGAAUCCGCCGGAUGAGACAUCUGACCGUCAAUUGAUUUUCUAGCAGCAUGCCAAGUCAAACUCUUAGCUGUCUCAUGUGAUUGAAACAUCCUUUUAAACCUUGGA